GCCGGGUGUUCCGCAGAGGCGGAGAAGGGAGCAAGGCCACUGAGGUGAGGGGGUGGGGCCAUGAGAGGGGCCACACAGACACCAACAGAUCCGCACAUCCCCUUGGAAGUGUGAAGAGGAAGCAGGGGCCUAAAAGAUGAGAUUCUUAUUCAGAGAACUUCUAUGAGCUCCACUGGAGUGCAGUGUUGUGGGAUGGUUUCCAUGGCAACCCCCUGCCGUCCUCCCCAGAGACCACAAGGACAGCUUCCAAAGCUCCUUCAGGUCCAGGCUGAGGCUUCCCCACCCCAGCAACCACCCCAAGGUGUGGAGGGCCCACCCCCGGGGCCAGACCUGUCCACACAGGGCCCACGCCCACCCAUCUGCUCCAUGUCCCACCUGGGCUUCUCCACCUUGGCCCUGUGCUGUCCCCCAACACUUGGGGAAGCAGGGCCCACCACUGCACACUAUGUUAGGACCCAUGCACGCACCAGGUACUGUGUGUGCCCGGACAUGUCCAGACUCAAGUUCUGUCUCUUACCUGAAGGUGAGUGUACUGCCCAAGGUAAUCUGGGGACCUCCAUCCUCCCCACCUGUCUACUGGGCAGUGGCUGGGCAAGAAGCUUCCUCCCUGGGGCCAGGGACUGGUGGUAGAAUGGGGCCCUCACAGGAUGCUCCCCAACUUUACUCCGGGGGUGUAGCAAUGGCUGCUGGGCCACA
rnacentral:lncRNA from 1 species